rnacentral:rRNA from 1 species
UACGGAGGAUGCAAGCAUUAUCCGGAUUUAUUGGGUUUAAAGGGUGCGCAGGUUGUUUGAUAAGUCAGUGGUGAAAGUCUGUCGCUUAACGGUAGGAUUGCCAUUGAUACUGUUAGACUUGAAUAUGGAUGAGGUAGGCGGAAUGUGUAGUGUAGCGGUGAAAUGCAUAGAUAUUACACAGAACACCGAUUGCGAAGGCAGCUUACUAAUCCAUCAUUGACGCUGAGGCACGAAAGCGUGGGGAUCAAACA